rnacentral:lncRNA from 1 species
GUGGCGGGCACCUGUAGUCCCAGGUACUCAUGAGGCUGAGGCUGGAGAAUGGCGUGAACCCAAGAGGUGGAGCUUGCAGUGAGCUGAGAUUGAGCCACUGCACUACAGCCUGGGCAACAAAGUAAGACUCCGUCCCAAAAAAAAAAAGUUGUGUUUUUUGGUAACAAUCUGACAGUCCUGCAAAACGAUUAUUCCUGCCCUAUAAUGUCACACUUAGUUUUUCCACAAAAGUUUUUAAUAAUAAAGUUGGAAUUAUUGUAAAAGUUUAGUAAAAUUUCAGGAUGGUCUCGAUCUGACCUCGUGAUCCGCCCGCCUCGGUCUCUCAAAGUGCUGGGAUUACAGGCGUGAGCCACCGCCCCCAGCCGUCCUCGAGUUCCUUCUUAAAGCCUCUAAGAAUCCUGCCCGCCAGCACCGGACCUUUCGCUUCCCCUUGGGGUCUCAGCUGAGUCCCACAGAACCUCACCGGACUCAUUGUCUAUGAGCAGAUGAGGCGAUGGCUGUGCUCCAGCAUCACGACGCCGUCAGCGGCACCUCCCGCCAGCACGUGGCCAACGACUACGCGCGCCAGCUUGCGGCAGGCUGGGGGCCUUGCGAGGUUCUUCUGAGCAACGCGCUGGCGCGGCUCAGAGGCUUCAAAGAUCACUUCACCUUUUGCCAACAGCUAAACAUCAGCAUCUGCCCGCUCAGCCAGACGGCGGCGCGCUUCCAGGUCAUCGUUUAUAAUCCCCUGGG